GCGCCGACAGCAAAAUCAGAAGCGUCACAGGUCAAAAUCAAAGGAACCGAAGGUGCAGGAUGUGUUAAAGCUGCGACUUGAAUAAGCUCUUCCUUGCAAUUCUUGAAAGCUUCUUCCGCUUAAGGAGUCCAAGGAAUUAUUCUUCUGUCACGCUUUCUGCUAUCCUUAAGAAAUUCGGUGUCGGUUUAAUACCUUGACUGGAUACCAAAUAACCAAGAAAAGGAAUUUCAGAAGAACCGAAAAGACAUUUAGAAAUAUUUAUUGUUAAACCAAAUUGCUGAAGGCGUUGAAAAAUGGCGCUGAAAGGUUUGAGCAGCAUUACGGAGACCGA